AGAGUUUGAUCCUGGCUCAGAUUGAACGCUGGCGGCAUGACUUUACACAUGCAAGUACGAACGGCAGCACGGGGGCAACCCUGGUGGCGAGUGGCGAACGGGUGAGUAAUGCAUCGGAACGUAUCCUUGAGUGGGGAUAACGCAGCGAAAGUUGUGCUAAUACCGCAUAAGCUCUGAGGAGGAAAGCGGGGGAUCUUCGGACCUCGCGCUAAGAGAAGAGCCUAGUCUGAUUAGCUAGUUGUAGGUAAAGGCUACAAGGCGACGAUCAGUAGCUGGUCUGAGAGGACGACCAGCCACACUGGGACUGAGACACGGCCCAGACUCCUACGGGAGACGAC
rnacentral:rRNA from 1 species